AUUCCACUAAGGAGCAAUGCAAGCACCACAGAGGCAUGUGCUAAAUGUGGAACCACUUAUACCAGGCUAACCGAGAGGUCAUUUUCAACUCCAGUGCCUCUUUUUUUAAAAAAAAACAGAGAUUGUAGGUGCCUCAGAGUUGGAAUCUUGGGAAGUUCUGACUCACUCUGGGAUAAACCAGUAGGUGGGGAGGAGCAGGAGUAAGAAGCUUUCUUAUAUCUGUACAAUGAUGAGACCAUCAUGGUCCUGGCAGAACCUGAGUUCCCCACUCUCACAAGGAGCCGGGGACAGGAUUGAUGGGCCAAGCCAGCAUCCUCCAUUACCAGCAGCUGUGGCAUUUCCAGGCAAAGAAGUAAUGGAAUGAGGAAGGAGUCAUAUGUGCCAUAGUCGACCCUUAAGUGCUUCCUCCUAAUGAUGAAGAAGAAAGCAAAUGCCCCUUGCCCAGCAAGCCUCAGUAGCCUGUUCAGGACAAAACAAAACCAGCCUGGUCCAGUAAGCAAGAAGGUUAGACUGAUAGCCUGUGAUGAUGCUUCGACUACGAUUGGAUGCAAAGGUCAAUUAAGUAGCUUGGUUGCCAAGAUCAGUGAUCUGGGCCAGUUCAUCCCUUAACUCUGUGGUGAGAAUUUCCUGAAUCUGGAUCUGGAAUCUGCAGCAUUCCAGGAUCCUGGGCAAGCAAGUAGAAUCUAAUCACAUCCUGGUGCAAUGGCCCCCACAAAGCCAACCUGGUAGACUUUUGGCUGCAGCCAUUUGGGAAGAGUCGUGAUCAAAAAUCUCCAUUUAUUUAACAUAUGUAUGUUGAGCAUGUGUUAUGCACCAGGUUCUUUAAAUGCUGGAGAUACAACAGUGAUAUGACUCUGAGUUGAUGGCACUUAAAAAAUAUAGAGGAGCUAGACAAUCAAAUAAUCACACAAACUAAUGUAAAAUUGCAACUGUGAGAACAACUUCAAAAGAGAAGGACUUGAGUCUAUGUAAUUCUAGAAGGGGGAUUUCCCAUGGAAGCAAUACUUGAGCAAUACUUGAGCUUGAAUAGAAAAAACUAGGCAAAAAGGAGGAAAAAGAAUGUUCUAAGCAGGAACAGCAUAUGCAAAGGCCCUGUGGCUAGUAAAACUGAAAGAAAGCCAGCAGUCCUGGAGAGAAGACAGAAAGAGAAGCUCAGCAUGAGGUCAGGCUGGGAGACGGGAGAGGGACCAGACCAUGUAGAACAGUAUACGUUAUUAAGGAGUUUUGUCUUUGUCCAAUAGGAAAUGGGAAACCAUUUAACAGUUUUAAGCAGAGGGGUGUCCCAAUCAGACUUACAUGGUGAAGAGAUCAUUUUGCAACAUAGAACACAGAUUGGAGAGGAAUUGGUCAGAGUGGAUCGGGGAGAAACAGGGAGUAGAGAAUUGCAAGUCCAAGCAGAGCAUGAUGGUUGCUUCCAUAAGGCUGACACUGGUAGUGGACAGAUUUGAGUGUUAUCUGAGGUAUAAACAGACAGAAUUUAGUGAUGAUGGGUUAUGGGGGAUGAGAUUGAAGAGACAGUCCAGAAUGACUCCUCGGAUUCUGGGUUGCAGGACAGCAUUGAUGGAAGUGUCAGUCACUGAGCAGGAAGAAUUGGGAGGAGAGCUGUGAUUCUGGUGCUGGGGGCAGUGGGAUAGGAAGAGCAAGAGUUUAAUUUUGGACACAGUGAUGAGCGUGAGGUGAAGUGGGGCAAACUCUAAAAUGAUCCCAGUGAUCCCUGACUCUCGGUAUUUGCACCCUGUGUGAUCCCUUUUUCUUGUGUAUGGCUGGACAUAGUGUUUUGCUUCUAGAAAAAGGCGAAAGUCAUGGGAUGUCACUCCUUAGAUUAGGUUACAAAGAGACUGGCCUCCAUCUUCCCUUUCCCUUCCCUUCUCUUCCCAUUGCUCUCUACCCCCCCGCACCCCCACUCUGGGGAAAGCACGCUGCCAUGCAAGUCACCCUGUAAAGAGGCUCCAUGGUAAGAAACUGAGUCUCUGAGCAACAGCCAGCGAGGGCCUGAGACCCGCCAACAGUCACAGGAAUGGGCCUGGACGUGGAUCCUCCCUGAUGUGAGCCUUGAGAUGACCGACCGCAGCCUCCUGAGAGACUCUGAACCAGGGGACCUAGCUGGGCCGUACCUGGAGUCCUAAUCCACACAAACUAUAAGGUUACUGGACUCUUCUGUGGGCAACUGUCCUUGGCAUGGUCCUGUGUCUUCUGGGAUGGACCCUCUUAGAACCAAGACCUUCUACCCAAUUGUCACCGAGAGCACCUGCCAUCAGAGAUUCCUGGUGUUGUCCACCUGAAUGGACUCUUGGACACCAAUGACAGCCUGGAUACUAGGACAAGAUUUCAGAUGUCCCUUCUGCCACUGCAGAGGUAGCUUCUGUAUCCCCUCCUUGGUGACAACAGCAUUAGUCCACUGACGCAGACCUUGGUCUCAGGCUACUGCUUUCUCUCCAUGAACUGAAGAUUUGUUAUCCUUCCCAGUAAGAAAGACCUGUGGAGUCUAGGAGAGUUGUGGCAGUAUUGCGGAUGGCCUUGAGAGCCUCCCAGCUACAAUAGCCUAGGAGUAAAAAGUAGAAUUAUAAUAAUGUAAUUCCACUCCAAUUCACAAUUGAAGAAACGUGAAGUCUCUCCCCUAAUGGACUGUCAAAAAUAGUACAUGUAUACACAUCUAUUUUUAUUUUCUUAUAGCAUUGUCAAUAUUAAAGUUCCUUAUAAAUUUA